rnacentral:rRNA from 1 species
UNCAGUCGUACGAGAGUUUUUACUCANGUGGCGGACGGGUGAGUAACACGUAAGAAUUUGCCUUUAGGAGGGGGAUAACAACUGGAAACGGUUGCUAAUACCCCAUAUGCUUUCGAGUCAAAUGGAUUUUCCGCCUAAAGAAAAGCUUGCGGCUGAUUAGCUUGUUGGUGAGGUAAUGGCUCACCAAGGCGACGAUCAGUAUCUGGUUUGAGAGGAUGAUCAGACACACUGGAACUGAGACACGGUCCAGACUCCUACGGGAGGCAGCAGUGGGGAAUUUUCCGCAAUGGGCGAAAGCCUGACGGAGCAAUACCGCGUGAGGGAUGACGGCCUAUGGGUUGUAAACCUCUUUUUUCAGGGAGGAAUCAAUGACGUGUACCUGAAGAAUAAGCAUCGGCUAACUCCGUGCCAGCAGCCGCGGUAAGACGGAGGAUGCAAGUGUUAUCCGGAAUCACUGGGCGUAAAGCGUCUGUAGGUGGUUAAAUAAGUCAACUGUUAAAUCUUGAGGCUCAACCUCAAAAUCGCGGUCGAAACUAUUUGACUAGAGUAUAGUAGGGGUAAAGGGAAUUUCCAGUGGAGCGGUGAAAUGCGUAGAGAUUGGAAAGAACACCAAUGGCGAAAGCACUUUACUGGGCUAUUACUGACACUGAGAGACGAAAGCUAGGGUAGCAAAUGGGAUUAA